GGUCUGCGAGGCUGCACUUCGGGGAAGGGGGCAGCACCCCGGAGCCUGAGCAGCUUCGGAGCGCACUAGUCUGGCCGCUUUACAACCCAGAGAGAGAUCCGCGAGGGGUCCCAGGUGGUGGGCCAAUAUCCUCACAACGGUUCUUUAAAUGUAGAAGACAGUAGUAACAGGAACCUCAUAUACUUGAUAUAUUUAUUGGAGCCUCUUCAAGGUGUGGCAUUAUCUUUUUAUCUCCUAUUCCAUGGAACUUCAAAUUGUG
rnacentral:lncRNA from 1 species